AAACCCCAAAUUAGCUCAUAAAGAGUCAGACAUGACUGAAAUGACUGUGAAAUGACACAUUAAAUUGUCUGGCCCAACUGCCUAGAGCCCUGAGUCUUCUGGCUGUCUGGUGGGAGGGGAUGUGAAGCCAGGUCAGCCUGGCCUAACUCCUCCUCUCUAUUUACCUUCCUGUGCAUGUAGCUCCAGGACUGGGACAGUUCCAUCUGCUCUGACAUUUGCCAUUUGCUAUUCAUCCAGCAGAAGUUCUCAGGCAGAGCUGUUGCCAGGAUCUUCCAUGGCAUUGGAAGCCCCUGUUACCCAGCAGAGGUGUAUGGGCAGGACCGGCGAUUCUGGAGGAAAUACCUACACGUGAGCUUCCCCAGCCUCCUCUGCCUAGCCACAAGAGAGAUUCUUGCCUGGAAGCAAGCCUGAAAGGGCCUCAUCCCAUCAUUCCCAUCAGACAGUUGCUGCCAUCCUCAUCGAGGAAAAGUGUUGGCCCGUCUGCUAGGAAAGAGGCAUGUGGUACUGGAAUGGACACAAGCCCCAACUACCAUUCACUGUCUAAGAGGAGAAAGGACAAUCCUCGAAGCAAGAAAUAAAAAGCCCAUGGAUUUGUUUUUAUUGAUACUGAAAA